UUUUAAAAACUUCAUCCAUUUGUACUGUUAAAAAUUGAUGUGGUUAACAAAAUAAUCAAAUAGUGACAUGUGACGUGUUACAUGUACAGGAACCAGUUUUUAACGGUAGAAAUUGAUGAAAUUUUUAACA
rfam:Gossypium arboreum cultivar AKA8401 contig_900_3, whole genome shotgun sequence.